UUUAUAAAUGAUGAAUUCAGUAUUUGUUAAUGCUUAACAAAUGCUUCAUAGUGUAUACUUCUUAUAAAGUGUUACCAAAAUCAAAAGUGAAUCCUAAUUUCAAUACAUUAAUGGUAGAUUCACAUAAGAGCAUUAGUGUAUUAUGUUUUAUACUUUAUCUGUCCUAUUUGGGAGACAAGAAGUGGAUGAAAAAGAACCUUUUUUUUUUUUUUUUUUACAUCUUUAUUAACCCAAUGCAUUAUUUGUACUUUUACAUAGUUUCUACAUGAGAGUUCUCACCUUGUAUGACUAAAUGUGUUUACUAUAGCAGGAGGAACUAUCACUGUCAGAUCCUGUUCCCUGUGUUCAAUAAGACGUUUACACAUCCAUUAAAACAGACUCCAACUCAAACUCCAUGUAAGCACACAAGCAAAGUGUGUAAAUCCUACACACUGAACCAUAAAAUGAAGUCAAUGCUAACAUUUCUGAAUCGAGAAUUAAUGGAGACACUACCUCCUUUGCUCAAAUAUCUUGAGUUUGUUUUCAGUUUAGGUUCUGGAUCUAGAAAACAUGUCAGACCGUUGCAUUAUGUAGUGAAGUGAAUGACCGCAUGUCGCCACCAGUCACACUUCAGAGGUCAGAUGUGUUGUUUUAAUCUAAAAUGUGGAAUGUGCUGGAAAAAAAUGAUUUUACUGUUUGUCUUAGUACUAUGGGGUUAGAUUUUCUGACACGUUCAUGACGUUAUGUUUGUAUGUUAACACAGAAGAGUUAAUUCCACUGAGGGAAAGAAAGAUUAAGAAAACAGACUUUUAGUUUAGUCUGAACUGUAGGUCAGCUCCCUAGAAAACAACACGUUUAGUAGAGUUUAAGUUAUAAAACAAGUGCACUAAGAGGACAUUUUGGGGGUUUGGGGGUUGUUUAUGGACACAUAGCAGCGCCAUAAUAAAGAAUUAAACUGUAACGGAGAAAGAAAAACAAGAAAUAUCCUCCUGAGACCCAUGCAAUGCAUUUUUGUCCUCUGUUGUGGACAAUAGUUUCACAAAUAAAAAAAAUAACAUUGUCCACUGCAAGAAGAAGAAAAAUCACAUGCUGUUUUCAUCCAAGACAAUUAUUUAAGGGAAAAAGCAGAAGCUUUUACUUUACAGAGUCAAUGGAGGAUAUAAAGAGGAAAAAUAGAUAAAUGUGGAAAUAGAAAGAGCAUAUUAAUUUAUUUUUUACAUGUAUUUCUAUAAUUAUUUAUGCAUUUUAAAACAAUAGUAUGUAUUUUUCACUUAUAAAUUCUGUACAUUCUAAUUACAUUCAUUCUAUACAAUACCGUUUCUUUAUCAUUUAUCAAGAUUCUUGAUUUAUUUAUUGUAAUUAUUGCAGUUUAGCUCUUAAAGCAACAGGAAAAGCAAAGAAAUGGCAUUAAAUGAAAGUAAAUACAAUGAAAAAACAUGGUAAAAAUGAAAUAAAAAGUGUAAAUACGGAAAUAUAUGAACAAGUAAAUGUGAAAACAAGCCAAAAAAAAAACUAUCUUGUUUUGUUAUAUUUCCACAUGUACUUUCUUAUUUUUUUUACAGAUGAAUUCUUUUUUAUGGCACUGCUGUGAUGCCAUUUAUUCCGUGCUCUUACAGAACCAGAGUGGAUGUUUGUUAAAAUGGAUAUUCGAUGGUAUUUGUCGGCUGUACGUUGACAUUAGUUCAGAAUGCUGUACAUUAACCACCUGUAACCCAGUGUUGUCGACGUUGCAUCAAGUGACACAAAAGGAGCAUUUGUGUGUAUUUAAUUUGGUUUGUGAAUGUUAACUACUUGUAUUUUUCACUUAAAAGAGCAUUUGUGAUGUACUGUAUCACAGUAUUUUUGGAUCUUAGCUGUCACAGUGCCAUAGAUGUCGAGCUGAAAAUCACUUUAUGAAUGUUUACCACAGAACAAGUCGGAGGUUUUUAUAUCGUGGUCACAUCUGAAUGCUGUACAGACCUUUAUUUUUCAUGAUCCCCGCUCCCAGAUAUCGCUGAUAUGAAGUAACUGUGACUUUUAAAAACAGACGUGACCUGUACAUCAUAUCAUUUCCAAGACACUGAUCAUGGUUGUGGUCGAUGCUGCUGUUUGAAAAUGUACAAAUGUUUACGUAUUGAAGAAACCAGCAUGACUUUGCACAAUUAAACUACAUACCACUUCA